rnacentral:rRNA from 1 species
CCUACGGGUGACAGCAGUGAGGAAUAUUGGUCAAUGGCCGAGAGGCUGAACCAGCCAAGUCGCGUGAGGGAUGACGGCCCUAUGGGUUGUAAACCUCUUUUGUCGGGGAGCAAAGAGAGUCACGUGUGGCUCAUUGAGAGUACCCGAAGAAAAAGCAUCGGCUAACUCCGUGCCAGCAGCCGCGGUAAUACGGAGGGUGCGAGCGUUAUCCGGAUUUAUUGGGUUUAAAGGGUGCGUAGGCGGAAGAUUAAGUCAGCGGUAAAAUGUCGGUGCUCAACACCGGCCUGCCGUUGAAACUGGUCUUCUUGAGUGAGCGAGAGGAAUGCGGAAUGCGUGGUGUAGCGGUGAAAUGCGUAGAUAUAACGAAGAACCCCGAUUGCGAAGGCAGCUUACUAAUCUGUGACUGACACUGAUGCUCGAAAGUGUGGGUAGCAAACAGGAUUAGAUACCCUUGUAGUC